UUUUUUUUAAUCCGUCUUGAAGCUGAAGACGUUCGAUGCUGGAAAGUCCUAAUAUAAAGAAGGUCUACACUGAAUAUGUAAUGAUGGAUAUCAUGCAGAUUUCCUUUGAACACUAUAUUUCUGAAGAUGAAUUUCAUUCUCCCCCAAUAUGGCAAGGCUUUCCCACAGCAGUAUCAAAAUAUGAAUAGUUAAUGCUUCUAUUAAAACAAGCU